UGUCUCCAGGGUAACCAAAAUGGCUAAGCUCUCCCUUAGACAGCCACAGAUCUCACCAGGCCUUCAGACUCAAAGCCAGUAGCACUGAUUUAGAAAGAGCUUGACUCCCUCAAAGACCACUGAAUGCUGGGAGAAAGGAGGCGGAGUCAGAGAGAAGCCAUGUAGCCCCACUUGAGACAGAUGCCUGAACAUUACCCGGAUAUUUUAUGAAGUGGCUGUUUUCUGGCAUGGAAGAAAAUGAAGCUCCCAAAUAAAUGGUGAAUCCAAGUCACAAGGACAAUUGCUUCAGUUUCCGUGGAUGGCUUACCCCACCCCCAAAACACGCAUCAAAUCAACAGCUGUUAACUGACUGCAUUUCCACUUCAAGGGUGAUUUUUUUUUAAUAAGCAAAAAAUAAAGCUAAAGGUACUCACUGAUGACUCAAAAAUGA